rnacentral:misc_RNA from 1 species
GAUGAAGAACGCAGCGAAAUGCGAUACGUAAUGUGAAUUGCAAAUUCAGUGAAUCAUCGAGUCUUUGAACGCACAUUGCGCCCGCCAGUAUUCUGGCGGGCAUGCCUGUUCGAGCGUCAUUACAACCCUCAGGCCCCCGGGCCUGGCGUUGGGGAUCGGCGGAAGCCCCCUGCGGGCACAACGCCGUCCCCCAAAUACAGUGGCGGUCCCGCCGCAGCUUCCAUUGCGUAGUAGCUAACACCUCGCAACUGGAGAGCGGCGCGGCCACGCCGUAAAACACCCAACUUCUGAAUGUUGACCUCGAAUCAGGUAGGAAUACCCGCUGAACUUAAGCAUAUCAAUAAGCGGAGGA